rnacentral:lncRNA from 10 species
GGACCUUCUGGGAAAGCUGAUCUCAAAGUAGCAGAGGCAGCCAUCUAAAAGGUUCAGGGGUGCCUUGCAUCUCAGAAGCAACCGGAAAACCCAAUGCAGAAGGCAAAUUGUUUAGCUAAAGAUGUGAGGUGAAACUGUUGUCCAUUUAAGUCAGUGUACACCACUGUGGAUUAGGAGCCCCAGCUUGAGGUUCUGGCUGGACAAGCAGGUAGAUUAUCAUUAAGACAUGGGUUCACAACAAGGUGACAUCACAGCUAAAGGAUCCUUCUACUCAGGAAGAUCAAACCUACAUGAAUGAAAAUAAUGUCAUGCAAUAUUGGAGGUUCAUCACAAACAGAGAAGAAAUUAAUAGCUGAGAAAACCUGUCAUAUAACUCUUAAAUAUUACCAAGUUGCAGAGUCAUGAGAAUAAAGACUAUCUUCCAAAGUUUUCUUUUCAGGUGCCUGUACUGCUCUUUGCCACGUCUCUGCAUUUCAAGUAGUUGAUAGCCAAUUUCUUGGUGUACCGUGAAAAGCCUAUAACCGAGCUCAUGGCUUGUUUCUGGGAAGGCUCACAGGGU